rnacentral:rRNA from 1 species
AUUGAACGCUGGCGGCAUGCUUUACACAUGCAAGUCGAACGGUAACAGGCCGCAAGGUGCUGACGAGUGGCGAACGGGUGAGUAAUGCAUCGGAACGUGCCCAGUCGUGGGGGAUAACUAUCCGAAAGGAUAGCUAAUACCGCAUACGAUCUGCGGAUGAAAGCGGGGGACCUUCGGGCCUCGCGCGAUCGGAGCGGCCGAUGUCAGAUUAGGUAGUUGGUGGGGUAAAGGCUCACCAAGCCAACGAUCUGUAGCUGGUCUGAGAGGACGACCAGCCACACUGGGACUGAGACACGGCCCAGACUCCUACGGGAGGCAGCAGUGGGGAAUCUUGGACAAUGGGCGCAAGCCUGAUCCAGCAAUGCCGCGUGCAGGAAGAAGGCCUUCGGGUUGUAAACUGCUUUUGUACGGAACGAAACGGCUCUGGUUAAUACCUGGGGCUAAUGACGGUACCGUAAGAAUAAGCACCGGCUAACUACGCGCCAGCCGCCGCAGUAA